UCAAAUGUAGUUUAUUUAUAAAAUAUUAGUUUUGGAGAUUAAAGAUGUGAUCUACUGUUUGAA
rnacentral:tRNA from 1 species